UAAUACGUAGGGGGCAAGCGUUGUCCGGAAUUAUUGGGCGUAAAGCGCGCGCAGGCGGUCAUUUAAGUUUGGUGUUUAAGCCCGGGGCUCAACCCCGGAUCGCACUGAAAACUGGGUGACUUGAGUGCGGGAGAGGAAAGUGGAAUUCCACGUGUAGCGGUGAAAUGCGUAGAGAUGUGGAGGAACACCAGUGGCGAAGGCGACUUUCUGGACCGUAACUGACGCUGAGGCGCGAAAGCGUGGGGAGCAAACAGGAUUAGAUACCCUGGUAGUCCACGCCGUAAACGAUGAGUGCUAGGUGUUAGGGGUUUCGAUACCCUUGGUGCCGAAGUUAACACAGUAAGCACUCCGCCUGGGGAGUACGCUCGCAAGAGUGAA
rnacentral:rRNA from 1 species